CUGUCAGAGACAACCAUCACUUCUUUUGCUUUUUAGCCACUAAGAUAGAAAUACACCAAACUGAGUUAAAGUUUGCCAUAUUGUAAAUAAAGUAUUGACCCUGAAGACAAGUGAAACAUUCUCUGUCAAGGCAAUAACUUUUGUCUUUGUAAGAUUGCAUCAAGAACAACUACUAGAGAGCCAAGCUAGAAUGAUAAGGACUUCACAACUUCCUUAUAAGAAGAAAUAGCCGCUGAUCAAGCUCAAAAUGAGAGACAUGAGAAGGAUCUCCUUUCAGCAUCAUUAGAAGCCCACCAUAUGAAACAUAUAUCUCCGCUUUAACUGCUUUUCCUGAACCUUCCUCAGAAAUCUUGUAUAAUUUCCCAUGCAUUAUGUAUUCAUAUUUGUCUGCAAGGGUUUUCCUUGCUCCCUGAAUAUAAUAGCCAGUGUCGGGUGUUCCAUCCAAAUUUAGAGUGUGUGCCAACGCCAUGGUGAAUUUAUCACCUACAGCCAUUGGGUAUAUUUCUGUAUUCACAUCUAAGUGCAUGAACAUGUCACAGUUCUGGCUGUGUGCUUCAAUACGCGAAACUUUAUCAAACUUUUUGCCAUCUGGAUCUAGUUUAUCAACCACAAAAAUAUCCUCGAAAAGAACUACAUUCGACAUGGGUAAGGAAGUGAAAAAGCUGUUUUGAAAUAGAUACUCUCGUUCUAUGGGUUGCAGAGAAGCUGAGAUAGAAGGCAAGAAACAAUAGACAGAAAUAUAGUCGCAAGGCG
rnacentral:misc_RNA from 1 species